rnacentral:rRNA from 1 species
GAUGAACGCUGGCGGCGUGCCUAACACAUGCAAGUCGAGCGAAGCGGGGACGGGUGAGUAAUACGUGGAUAACUUCUUAUAAGACUGGGUUAAUUUAGGGAAACCGGACCUAAACCGGAAACUUAUAGAUGGUUCCGCGCUGCAUUAGCUAGUUGGUAAGGUAACGGCUUACCAAGGCAACGAUGCAUAGCCGACCUGAGAGGAUGAUCGGCCACACUGGAACUGAGACACGGUCCAGACUCCUACGGGAGGCAGCAGUAGGGAAUCUUGCACAAUGGGCGAAAGCCUGACGGAGCAACGCCGCGUGAGUGAUGAAGGUCUUCGGAUCGUAAAACUCUGUUAUUAGGGAAGCGGUACCUGAACAAAAAGCCACGGCUAACUACGUGCCAGCAGCCGCGGUAAUUC